rnacentral:rRNA from 1 species
CUGAAGGUACCUUACGAAUAAGGAUCGGCUAACUCCCGUGCCAGCAGCCGCGGUAAUACGGAGGAUCCAAGCGUUAUCCGGAUUUAUUGGGUUUAAAGGGUCCGCAGGCGGGUUAUUAAGUCAGUGGUGAAAUCCUGCAGCUUAACUGUAGAACUGCCAUUGAUACUGGUAAUCUUGAGUGUAGUUGAGGUGGGCGGAAUGUGUCAUGUAGCGGUGAAAUGCAUAGAUAUGACACAGAACACCGAUUGCGAAGGCAGCUCACUAAGCUAUUACUGACGCUCAUGGACGAAAGCGUGGGGAGCGAACAGGAUUAGAUACCCUGGUAG